AAAAUCAAAGUGCGUUUUGUAGAUAUCAGCCUUAAGUGUCUGACAAUGCAUAACAUGAUUUCUAGUACUAUUCCGAAGAAAAAAUAAAAAAAUUAGACUUUAUACCUUUACGUAAGAUUUGUUACACCUUUAUUACCUGUUACCUCCCAAAGCCAGUAUGCAUGAUUUAAACUUUAUAGUUGCUGACCGUUUCUCCCCGUGUUGGGACAAUACGCAGAUAAACUUUCAGCUUUUCUAAAAUAACGAAGGUCUGGCACGCGCUGGCUCUCUCUAUAGGCAAUAACAAUUAAAAUAAUUGUCUAAAAUGGCUUAAUUCGCAAUAUUGUAACGCGUUCGCAUAUCACAUUGUAAACAUAGAUAAACACUUAUAGAUACCUAUUUAUGGCUUCAUAAUGAUACAUAAUCCUAGUGAUAAUUGAUAACAACUGUCGGCGUUAUCCUGCUACUGAUAGUUAUCAAUAAUCAUGAACUUGGCCCUCUUACGAACAGUUCCAGGUAAAUAGAACAUUUCUUUAAAACUCAAUGUAUCUAGAACAUAUCUCAUGAAGGGCAAUCUAAUCUAAGAAGGCAUGAAUGAAUAAUUUUUUCAAAGAAUAUUAUAUAGGUAAGUUAGGCCACUAUGUCUAGACAGCGACCAUUUCAGAAAGAAGACGUCUUGUAAGAAAGCUAACAUUACCAAUACAACUAGUCAAAUCAGUACCUUUUUAUCAAACUUCAAAACACGCGAUUAGUAUGCGAGCUUCUAUGAAAUACUGGCCUGUGACGUCACAAUGAUUUGACGUACUUUUUUAGUUUAAUCGAUAAUAUAAAAUGGUUAUUACAUUCAAAAAGGAUGUGGAUUUUACGUAUCAAAAUUCCAGACCCUCUAUUUACCGAGAAGUGCCGAGAAGUAAUUUAUUUUUGACAUAGACAAAUACCGUAACAAAUACUUUCAGUUAAUCAUCAUGAGCAAGCAUUAUACUUCUCACAGGCCGACGUCUAAGCCACUAAGCCACCACCACUAAGCUAUCACUGCUUUGUGUUUUAUGUAUUGGUCUAUUGGAGCCAUAAAGUUCUUUUCCUUGUUGACAUUCAAACAGAGCUCGUAACUGCAAUGUGACG